CUGCCUGUAGCUCAGCUGGAUAGAGCAAGGGACUUCUAAUCCCUGGGUCAGAGGUUCGAAUCCUCUCAGGCAGG
rnacentral:tRNA from 1 species